rnacentral:lncRNA from 1 species
CUUUUUCCAUACUUCCUGGUAGCCUUUUCUUGUUUCAUAUGGCCUCUAUCUAAUAUUUCUGUUAGCAGCUGAACUGGAGGAAGAAAACAAAGUUGAUACACUACUGAUUGCAAGUUUAAUCUUUUGAGGGGUUCGAGGCGUGUAUCUGUCACAUUCAAGUUUUCAAGCUGCUGACUGUACUCAAGGAAGAAGAUUUAGUGAUUACCAAAAUCUACAUAGGCUUGUAAAGAAUUGCUAAUGCUUUCCGAAAAGGUUUUGGUACCCUUUUGUUAUAUUGUUUAUCAGCUUAAAUGUUACCAUAACCUUUACUGAAGCCUUUAUAUACAUCCUUUCUUGUGCAGGGAGUAGGGUAAAGUAUAUUGGCCAAAUUACAGAACCUCCAUCUCACACAUUUGUGCAGAGGUACCUUCGUAGCCUUGUUCUCUUUUACUUUGACAUAACAUUUCUGCAUCCUGGAUCUUCUUUGAUCUUUCUUCUUUUUUGGUCACAUUUGUUACAUGAGUUCUGAAGUUAUACAAGAAAUGUUGAAGUUCCUUGUGUCUUUGAGUAGUGAACACUAAAAACCUGUUCCACGCAUACGUGAAAAAAGUGCCUCCUCGCUCGAAAGAAAAGAAAAAGAAAAAAAAAGAAAACCACGUACCCACGUUGUCUCACCUCCUUAUUCCCUUCCCAUCCCACGCCCCUUGCUCUUGAUCUCGUUUUUCUCCUCGCUCCCAGAAGGCCGACGGCGGCGGCACCGGUCAGAUCGGGACAUGACGCGGGACAACGGUCCCCAAUCCCCUCACAGUCGCCGCCGCGAGCUCCUCCUCGUUCCCUCCACUCUCCCAACACCACCUCCUGCCGACCAACAGCGCCUCCUAGCCUCCUCCUCCUCUUCAUCAUUCAUGUCCUCGUCCUCACGCGACAUCCCUUCGUCACUGGCACUGCGGUUGUGCUCGGCAUAAGGAGUGGUUGUGGUGUGGCAGAUGCGUGAGGAGGAGGAGGAGGAGGAGGUCGUGGUCAUGGCGACGCGAUGGAGGUCGUGGCCGGCUGGCGCAUGACAUCAGCCUGUGACUCGAUUGGUCGAGGCGGAGAUGCCAACACGCGGGGUCGCGGUCGAGCUGGGCGUGAGGAGAGCGAGGAGAGGAAGGGGAAGGGUGGGAGGCGCGAGGACGACGACGCUCCAGCUACGGGGCUCGCCAGCCAUGCGGUGCUGGGCGUGGAGGACCCAGACCCCCUCUUGUUCGCUGCCGCCAUGAUCUUGCUCGCCAUCGACCUCCCCGGGUGCUUUUCUCCCUAAAUGGUGCCUACAUGGACAUAUCGAUUCAAGCGCCAGGUGAAGACACCCCUCACUGUCCAAAUGUGCUUCUCUACAUGGGUGUUGUCACCGCGACUAGUUUGACUGUUCAAGCCAAGGUGAAAAUAUUGUCCUCCCUUUAUUUCUCAAUUGUGUGAGAUAUGAUUUUAUUCAUAAUUUAUGUGGAUCUUGAAGCACAUGAACAAGAAAUUGGAGAUGAUUCUUUAUCCAUGGGAUCUUCCAAAAACAGAAAACAACACAACAAAGUAUUUACUAUAAAUUGUACCAUAUUCAGAUAUUUUGUUUGCUUGCUUGGAAAUCCCAAUCAGACUUUUGCUUUCAUUCUAUUACAUGUAAAUGAAUUACUUAAGUAAUGUUAGACCUCUUAUCAGAUUAUAUCCUUUGUAGCUAACUGAUGUUGCUCUAUUUUACUUGCAGGGUUGCAAUAAAUCUUCACAGACCAUAUUUAUUAUCUUGAGGAUCACUGAAACAAUUGCACUGCAAAAUACUAUGCCUUUCUUUCAUGGUAUGGCAUCUUAGUUCUUUUCAUUUGUCACAUUCAGUACUAAUAAGAUGCUUCUACUACUCUACAAUUUUAUAAACCAUGUGAUUUUGUUUAGGAUUUGAGUGGAGCUUGAAUCAAUCAAAUCAGCCUAGAAGGUGCUUCUUUUCUCGAUGGAGGCUUAAAGAUAUUUAUGGCAGCCUGCUCCAUGUAGGUUUUGCAGCGAAAAACCGAAGAAGUUGUGAUGGACACAAAAAGACUGAAAGAUUUGCACGAAGCGAAGAUGUCCACCCGGUAUACAUAUGGUUAGAAGUUUAGGGUGACUUCUUUUCAGUUGCUGUUGAGAUAUUUAUGUGAUCAUAGAUAAACAACCCAUGAAGUUACUACCUUUUGGUUUUGAUUUAUAAAUUUUAAAUUGGACAAUCU